GGACAGAAAACAUUUUUUAUUUAUAUCUUUGACAUUUAAAAGAGCAGAAUUAAUUUGUCCUGUCUACAUUAGCAUUGAGAGAAAGUUUCAGAAAUCUACCCGGGGGGAAAGGGAGGGGGGGAAAAGAAAAAGAGAAAAAAGAAAGCGAAGAAAGGAAAAGAAAAGCUAGGCUUGGUUUUUCUUAUUUCAGAUCUGUAAUCAAUCAUUGAAAUAGGAGGCAGCAAAACUGUAAAGAUUCGAUAGAUUAAAAUGCAAAUGAAAGGUAGAAAAAGAAACAUUAACAUGGCGAUCAAAGAUUUAAUAACCAUAAAUCAAGUUUUUUUUCUGUUGCAGCUGCAGUUUGUGUGUUUAUGUUUUAAUCAUGUUCGUUCCAUAAAUAAAUAAUUUUGAAACGAGACUAAUUUUUCAUUAUUUUAACAGUGGGCUACAACACUAAAUAUUAAAAAUAGAAAGAGUAUAUGAUGCAGAUCCCCAACCAAAUAAGAGAAAGACUUGUGUUGAUUGGUUAAAAUCAAGGGGUUUCAAUUUUAUGUUUUGAAAAUCAGAGUAUUAUGCUAAAAAAUUCUAUCUUAACUGACAAAGCCCAAAGUUUUAUUUUCUCUUUAAUAUUUUAUGUUAACGACAAGAUACCAUUUAUAUUAAAUAUAUGCAUGGCUACGUAUCCAUUCCAGUCUGAGCAUUUUCAAAGAACGGAAGUGUCAGAAUAUUAAAUAAUACAAACAUAUAUUAUUUCAAAGUGCCUUGACAGAAUUUCUGGAAAAUAAUACUCUUUAGGAUAAUCUGCCUUCCAGAGAAAAAAGUGAUGGUUCAACACAGUUAAAACUUUUCUAGCUUUAUUAUUAAAGUUAUUUUUCCAAGGGGGAAUAUUUUAGCCGUUUGUUUUAUUAUUCAAUUUAAGGUUUUAUGUCAAUGUGUCAAAUUAUCAGAGCACACUCUAAGUACUCAUUUUCUCAACUAUAAUGAAAACUUUUCAUUUAGAUCUUUUUAUGUAAAACAUUAAUUUAUAUCGUUAAUUUAGAAGUAUCUAGAACUUAAAAAAUAAAACACCUGAACUUAGUUUCUCUCUCUCUCUCUCUUUCUCUCUGUCAACAUCUUAUUAACAUAGAGAGGACAUACAUUUUCAGAAAAUUUGAAACUUUUUUUUUCUGCUAAUACAGACUUGCAAUGUUUAAAAUAAGCUUUUUGCUUAAUUCUGCUUUUGAAGGAAUGAUUCCCCCUAGUAUACUAAAAUGAUGGGUUAGAAUUGUUUCAAUUUCUCCUCUUUCCACAAAUGAUCACCAAAUAUGGAAUACAUAUUUCCUUUCUGAAACCUUUAAGUUAAAUGUGAGCUAAGUUUAUGUCCACUCGCCGCCCCCCGCCCCCCCCCCCGCAGCCGAACAAUCACGUUUUCACUGUGACAGUCCAAUAAUGCAUUUAGUUUAAAAUUACAAUUACACUUGGACCUUUUCUCCUUUGUAUUUUUUCAUUUACUUCAGUGCAACAAGAUGACUUGAUUUCCAUAGGAUUACACGAACUCUAUUCAGUGUUACUGGGAUAUUUCUGCUCAACUAAAUGCUUGCCUUAAUAGACAAAUGAACUUCUUUUUAUUUGCUGGAGUUUGUAGAUGGUUUUAGAUAACAGUGUGCAACUGAUUUAGUUAUUGUUGUUGUGAGAAUCGAACAGCCACAAAAGUCAUUUCUCUAAACUGAAGAGAUAUGACUCUGUAAAAAGGAGAAGCAAGGGCAGAAUCAUGGGGAAUUAUUUCAGUUUAUAGCUAUUAUUAAUUAAACUGGAUGUGGUUUUAUUCUGAUCUUUUAGUACCGACCUUGUUAAAAGCUCCCAGCUACCUGCCUUUUUCCCCUCAUCCCCAAUUUUUUUUCUAUUUAUUAGGACUCAUGUGGAUUGGGAUUGCCUUUUCUGUAUUAUAUUACCAAGCAGUUACAGUGUAAAAUCUCAUGCACCUUCAGACGAUCGCACCCCUCCCAGGGGGAAAAAAAAAAAAGAAAUGCUUUUUUUUCAUUCAGUUUUAGCAUCUUGUUUCGUUGAAAUGCAAGACAGGUACUUGAUUUAGCAUUUAAGCAAAAGGUUACACAAACCGCGUUUUAGAAAGUGUUGGGAUGUCCGACAGGGUCAGCCCUAGAUCAGAUCAUUUUUUGAAUGCAGACCUAAAGAUAAUGAGUACUUGUUGUAUUAAAGGGGACAAACAGUACUUUGGCUUCCUCUGACCCCAGAAUGCACGGCUCGGUUUCAUUGAUCAUCCUCCUUUAUGAGAUAAUGCAAUUACAAACAUCAAUAAGGGGCUGCAAGGGGAAUCAUUAUGCGGUGACAGUGAUAAAUGACGGUGCAGAAAUAGCAUGCUUUUCCCCCCUAACAAUCCAGGAGCCCAGGGGCUCCGGGGGCUGAACACAGUCGCCAAGGAAACAGAUGACAUCCCAAACGGCACCAAAAGAAAAAAAAUGAACAGUCUUUCUUUGCCUUUCACUCUUUUCCGUCUUCCAAAGAGUUAGUUUUGGCUCAAGCAGCAGCUGCUACACAAGGCAUUUCGUUAUUUCAAACAUUAAAGACUGGAACGGGCAGUGGGAGUCUCCUCCCCUUUCAUCCCCACCCCCACUAGAUAACACACAAAGCUCGCUGUUCACAGUUUAGGACUACCUGAAAAUGCACGUCUCAAAAAUCAGAUUGGGAUGGGGUGGAGGGGCGUCGGGAACGUGGAUUUGCACAGCCCUUGCGUUGUGUUUCCCCUGCUUUUGUCCAGUGGAAACUGAGUCUCCAGAACAAGCUGGCGCCUCGCGGGUCGGCCAGUAAGGGAACGGGUGCGCGUGGCUCGCCUCCAUCUCCCCGCAGUGCCAGACGCUGCUCUGUGCCAAGGCGGGGGCUGAGGAGCAGGCGACUGCUGGGGGUGUUUGCUGCUGUGCUGGGUUUCUUUGGGAUGGAGUUAUCAAUGGGCGCAGAGAUCGUCCCUAAAUCGAGAAAUCUGGUUCUUUAAAGCCUCAGGGUGCCCUCAGCAAGCGGCUUCAAAAGGGCCUCACUGAACAUUCCCCACCCCACCCAUGCCCAGAAAGGAGGUCGUCACCCCGCAGAAAACAGACACAGGGUUUCUGACCCCUGCCCGGUCCGCCUCGGCGUGGAGCUAGGGACCCCCGCUCGGCGCUCCCUGCCACACACGGCCCCCACCGGGAGGAGCGGGCCAAGCGGGUGCCUGAAGCAGGUGACUUUAUUCACUGCUUCCCCAAUCGGCGAGGUCCCGGGACUCGUUUUCCGCCUGGAAAUUAAGAUCAUUGCUCGCGUAAUGACCUUAAUGCUUUAGGGUAGAGCUCCGCCUAGGGAGAGAAUGUUUCAGACUCCUUGGCGGGUAGAGCGGGCCGAAAAGGGAGCCCUCCCUCUCCCAGCCAUCAGCUGUCUUCCUCAGGUCCCCGACCCCACCUUUCUCGCUCACUACUUUUUCCCCAAACCCUGGGAUUCCCAGGCUCCUGUAGUCUCCGCACCGUGGCCACCUUAAGUGAAACGCGCCGCUAGCAGCCAGUGGGUAAGGCAUGGCAUGGGAGACGAGAAUGAGACAAGGAAAAGUGCCCAGCCAGGCAGGGCGCCCCACUACCCAGUUCCACGCCUCUCUCCAUCGGCGUCCAAGCGCCUACCCGGGAGCUUUGCAGCAUGAAGUUACGUUUUUACUGCCUUCCGGUGGGCCAAGGGCCUGAGGGUAUCCGAAAGGCUGGGGAAAGUUUGCAGAGCUUUUAAAGUGAUCCUGAGGAGCUUCUGCCUAAGGCGUCGGGGUGCUGUCUACGGCUUCCCGGCUGCGGCUCCAGACUCGGGCACUCUCCUCCCAACGCCCUCCUAGUGGGCCGUGCACGCGUUCCAUGUGCCCUCCAGCCCCCAGGCUCUCUGGGUCGCGCUCCCAGGGCCACUAUGGGACUCUGGAGUCUGGGGCCCCCGAUGUGGCAAAGUCUAUUAGGAAGUCUCCAGGCUACUACAAAGCACUCCGUGAGGUUCCGAGGAAAGAGCGCCCGGACCUGCACCCAGGAGGUGCCUCUCCACAACCUCCUUCGCAGACCCCUGGUCGCCCCAUCUCCAGAGACAAAGUCAACAGUCCCUUAGACUAGACUCAGAUGGGGGUGAGGGCAGGAGGGUAAGGCAGGCGCCCGUGCAGCCCCCCCACCCCCGCCACCCCCCGCGACCAGAGCUGUGGUCUCUGGGCAAAGACCUGCCCGCCCACGCACUGGGGCCUAGGCCGGGACCCAGCGCAUCGAGGGACUCAGGGGUAGCACGUCCUGGCUGGAGCUCUGCGCAGUUGCCCGCUGGAUUUCCUCUCGGGGCACGGAGCCGGGCCCAACCCCAGGACUGGAGCCUAUACCCUUCCGCUCCUCCCGCAGACUUGGGGGACACUGCACACAGCAACUAACCCCGAUCGCAAAGUCGAGCGCGAAGUCUGCACGCCGCGUGGGAGACGCGAGAGGGAGGGGGAGGGCAGGGCUUGCGUUUUUCCUUUUCAGAAUCCUUCGACUUCACUACGAAGUUUGCUGGUAGGCGCCUCUGCUCCGGGGUCGGAGCCUCCCACCAAGGCUCCUUCCCCUCCCCUUCUCCCCGCCCCCGCGAGCCGAAGCAGCCGCAGCCUCCACCAGGACCCGGCCGCCCGCUCGAUCCCCCUGACCCGGACCCUGCGCCCAGGUUGCAGCGCCGCCCUCCCGGCCUUGCCCCCGGGCUCGGCUGGGGGCUCUUUUCCCCGGGGCGAAACUCGCCCGCCUGGCUCACUUCAAGGAGACACCCGCUGCCUCCCGAGGAACUCCUAAUACCAUCCAUACAGCUUUAAUGCGUUUAUAAUUCGAUAAGUGAUUUCAAUUUGAAAUUGUUAGUAACUAAUUUUAUGGGUAAUUUUUCCACAUCAAAUAUUUAAGCAUCAGAUUAAGGGAGCCAGUUCCGACACUGGAUAAUAAGGGGGUUUCCCCCACUCCCGCGCCUCCGCCUCCCUCCGUUUCCUACCGAGUCGUUUUUCGAAAUCCCCAAAAGAUGGCAGUCGAAGCCGACUUUCCUCUUUUCCUGUGGCUCUGCGAAGGGAGGGGGAGAGAGGAGGAUGGGGGAGUGCGAGAGUGGGGGGCGGAGAGAGAGAGAGAGACAGAGAGAGAGAAGGAGGAGGAGGAGAAGGAGAAGAAAAAAAGGGGGGAGAGAAAAGCUAGACGGUGCAUGGACUUUUCAGACGAAUUCUUUCACACGUUUCUAAUACAAGCGAAAAGCAGUGGUGAAUUUCCUGGAAAAGUCCUGGCAGAAAUGAAAGCCAAAAAACGUGCCUUGUGGCCUCAGGGUACGGGAUGUGAGAAACUCAGCACAUUCAAGCUAAAUCUUCAUUUUAGAACAGGAGAGGGAGAGGGAGACCCAGAGAGGAACCGACUCGACUGACUUUAGGGUCUUUCUUUGUAUUUUAACAUUGUAUAUAAAUACUACACAACUAGGCAACGUGUUUCCUCGAGGACUGGACUCUGCGAAUUACAUAAUGAGGGGAAAGAGGUAGGGGUGGGGAAGGGGAAGGGGUGGGGGCAGACUGCAGCGGGCGGAGGGGAGACUGGGGCGAGCAGCGGAUGAAUUGCAGACCAGUUGCCAAAACUUUUUUUUUUUCCCUGCUGCUGCUGCUGCGGCUGCCUUUGCUGCUGCCUUUGCUUUGAAUGUGGGUAACUAGGAAACAGCAAGCCGUCUGAGAAGACGGAAUUUCCAACGUGUAAAAUGUUCUUAACGGAACCAUUGAGCGAGUGCAAUAAGGCGUGAGGGGGAACUAAUCUUCCCAUUUAAAUGUUUGUGGCAAUUUUAUCUAAAUGAAUUUUAAUGCUAAACGAGGGUAAUUCCCCAUUUGUAGCGCGUUUACUUCUCUUUCCUGUGCUUCUAAAGCAGUCGAACAUCAUGCAAUGAACAAUAACAAUAAAAAUACUGUCAAGGCAUAUUAUUCAUUUUGAAUGUGUUAUAAUUACAGCUGAUUAAAUAUGAUAGGGUAAAAUAUUUUUAAUUUUUUGAAAAAAAAAUUUAAAUCAUAUUAAAAAGUAGUCUCAUUCAGCCAGAGCCAGCCCCCUUUCCACCCCCCCCCCACCCCCCCACCCCCCCACCACCAAAUAAAAAUAAAAACCAGGUACAAUUUUGUGCCCUUGUUUAGAGGAGGGCGUUUUGUUUUUGCCUUUUAGGAAACAUCAAAAACACUCUCAGCACCUCUAUUAUUUGCCUCUUUCGGAUAAGUGUCCUCAAUAACCUUCGAGCUGGCUCUGAAAUUUACAAGAGGAAAAGCUAAAAUAGCAUUAAGAGGGGAGGGCAUCGAGGCAGGGGAAGAAAGGAACUGCGAAGAGCGAGGCUCUCACCUAAAUGGCUCACAGAGGGGGAACUCACGGAAAUAGCAGUUUAUUUUUUCUAAUUCCUGGACACUGCUGAUCUCGAUUCUUCAGAGUCACCAUAUUCCCUAACUACUCUUCACUUGUAAACCUCCCUCCCCUAGCGCCUCUCUCUUUCUCUCUGUCUCUCCCUCUCGCCUCUCUCCCUCUCCCCACCACACCUCCUCCCCUUUCUUUCCCUCCCCCACCCAUCCUGAGCCUCCUCAGGAAUAAAGGCUGAAAAUAACCAACUCACCCGGGCAUGUACUGGAGAGGAGGAGCAAAUAGACAGUUUAUAAAGUUUAUUAUUAAUUGUUAAAGUAAAUAAAUGGUUGUUAACUGCUAGCAACCACCUAUCAAAAGAGAAUGAUUUCACUCACAUCGACUAUUUAGGUAGAGGAAGAAUUGCCACUAGGUCAACAAGGGAGAUUUAAACAAUCCCAUCUAUGGGCUGGGGAGGGGUAGAAGCGCUGCCAGAGAUGGCUGCAGUAGGCUGAGCCUUGCUCUCUGCGCAUCCACGUGUUUAGAAACAAGGCCCCAUCAGCAAAAGUCUCCUUAAGACACUGCCUGCAAC
rnacentral:lncRNA from 1 species